UGCGCUCACACCUUGAGAAGUGCAAUUCAAACAAAUUCUACCUCUAUCAUCGUGACCACAGCCACGACACGGAGGAGUGUAUUCAGCUUCGAGACGAGAUCGAGGAGCUCAUCAGACGAGGUCGGCUCAACAGAUUCAUUCGAUGCUGACCCGAAGGAAGGGAAGAUCGUCCUAGAGUCCUGCCGCAGUCGGAGCCACCAAGGAGGGAAGAGCAACCUGAAGAUCGGCCUCCGAUUGGGAUUAUCAACUCCAUCUCAGGAGAACCCUGACGGGGAGCAGACCUUCCGCGGCUAUAGGAUUCAAAAAAUCU
rnacentral:lncRNA from 1 species